rnacentral:rRNA from 1 species
GACGAACGCUGGCGGCGUGCUUAACACAUGCAAGUCGAACGGAAAGGCCCCUUUGGGGGUCCUCGAGUGGCGAACGGGUGAGUAACACGUGAGUAACCUGCCCUUGACUUCGGGAUAACUUCAGGAAACUGGGGCUAAUACCGGAUAGGAAUCCUUGCUGCAUGGUGGGGGUUGGAAAGCUUCGGCGGUUUUGGAUGGACUCGCGGCUUAUCAGCUUGUUGGUGGGGUAGUGGCUUACCAAGGCUUUGACGGGUAGCCGGCCUGAGAGGGCGACCGGCCACUUUGGGACUGAGAUACGGCCCAGACUCCUACGGGAGGCAGCAGUGGGGAAUUUUGCACAAUGGGGGGAAGCCUGAUGCAGCAACGCCGGGGGCGGGAUGACGGCCUUCGGGUUGUAAACCGCUUUCAGCAGGGGCGAAGCUUGUGGUGACGGUACCUGCAGAAGAAGCACCGGCUAACUACGU